UACGGAGGGUGCAAGCGUUAUCCGGAUUUAUUGGGUUUAAAGGGUGCGCAGGCGGGACGAUAAGUCAGUGGUGAAAGCCCACAGCUUAACUGUGGAAUUGCCAUUGAUACUGUCGUUCUUGAAUAUAGUUGAAGUGAACGGAAUAUAACAUGUAGCGGUGAAAUGCAUAGAUAUGUUAUAGAACACCAAUUGCGAAGGCAGUUCACUAAGCUAUUAUUGACGCUCAGGCACGAAAGCGUGGGGAGCAAACAGG
rnacentral:misc_RNA from 1 species